UACGAGAGGUGCAAGUGUUGUUCCUAAUGACUGGGCGUUAAGGGUAUGUAGAUUGAAAUUCAAGUUUUAAAAAAUAUGUAUGAUACAAUUUAUUAAAAUACUGUUUUUCUUAGAAUAAUAUUUAAAAUACUAGAACUGUUAGUUUAAGGUUUAAAUCUUUAGAUAAACGGGAAUGCCAAUGGCGAAAGCAUGUAUUUAUUUAUUAUUGACAUUAAGGUUACUAAAGCGUGGGGAGCAAACGGG
rnacentral:rRNA from 1 species